CAAAUUUUCCCAGUAAUCGCUUAUGUAGGAACUCUUGAAUUCUUUGUCACAAAUCAUAGUCAUAACUCACAAAUAAUAAAUCAAAAAAUGAAUUAAAAGAACAAAAACAAAAAACAACAAAAAAAUCUUGACCAGAGGCUCGCUGUCAUGAGUCAUUGAGAUCGGAGAUGCUCGAUGUUGGCUAUGACUCAACGGUAGACGACAGUAGGUAAGGGCAAAACAACAAAAAAAUCUUGACCAGAGGCUCGCUGUCAUGAGUCAUUGAGAUCGGAGAUGCUCGAUGUUGGCUAUGACUCAACGGUAGACGACGGUAGGUAAGGGCAAGGGGCUAAGUGACCACUGGUGAGUGCACAUGCAACGGGAGGGAGAAAGUUCAGUAGGGUUUGCCUUUCGUGAAUUUGAAAUUGGUUAGGU
rnacentral:lncRNA from 1 species